rnacentral:rRNA from 1 species
UACGUAGGCAGCAAGCGUUGUUCGGAUUUACUGGGCGUAAAGGGUGUGUAGGCGGUCUACUAAGUCUGGUGUGAAAUCUCCCGGCUCAACUGGGAGGGUGCGCCGGAAACUGGAAGGCUAGAGUGCGGGAUGGGAGAGUGGAAUUCCUGGUGUAGCGGUGAGAUGCGUAGAUAUCAGGAGGAACACCUGUGGUGUAGACGGCUCUCUGGACCGCAACUGACGCUGAGACACGAAAGCGUGGGUAGCAAACAGG